AUUGAACGCUAGCGGGAUGCUUUACACAUGCAAGUCGAACGGCAGCGCGGACUUCGGUCUGGACGCGAGUGGCGCACGGGUGAGUAAUGUAUCGACACGUGCCCAGUAGCGGGGGAUAACUACGAGAAAGCGUAGCUAAUACCGCAUACGCCAUACGGGGGAAAGCAGGGGAUCGUAAGAUCUUGCACUCUUGGCGCGGCCGAUCUCGGAUUAGCUAGUUGGUGAGGUAACGGCUCACCAAGGCGACGAUCCGUAGCUGGUGUGAGAGGACGACCAGCCACACUGGGACUGAGACACGGCCCAGACUCCUACGGGAGGCAGCAGUGGGGAAUUUUGGACAAUGGGGGCAACCCUGAUCCAGCCAUCCCGCGUGUGCGAUGAAGGCCUUCGGGUUGUAAAGCACUUUUGUCAGGAAAGAAACGACGCUGGCUAAUACCGCGUGUAACUGACGGUACCUUAAGAAUAAGCACCGGCUAACUACGUG
rnacentral:rRNA from 1 species